rnacentral:rRNA from 1 species
GAUGAACGCUGGCGGCGUGCUUAACACAUGCAAGUCGAACGAAGCACUUUUGAUUCUUCGGAGGAGGAAGUGACUGAGUGGCGGACGGGUGAGUAACUCGUGGGUAACCUGCCUUAUACAGGGGGAUAACAGUUAGAAAUGACUGCUAAUACCGCAUCAGCCGAUAGAGUCGCAUGACUUAGUCGGAAAAGAUUUAUCGGUAUAAGAUGGACCCGCGUCUGAUUAGCUAGGUGGUGAGGUAAUGGCCCACCAAGGCGACGAUCAGUAGCCGGCUUGAGAGAGUGAACGGCCACAUUGGGACUGAGACACGGCCCAAACUCCUACGGGAGGCAGCAGUGGGGAAUAUUGCACAAUGGGGGAAACCCUGAUGCAGCAACGCCGCGUGAAGGAAGAAGUAUUUCGGUAUGUAAACUUCUAUCAGCAGGGAAGAAAAUGACGGUACCUGACUAAGAAGCCCCGGCUAACUACGUGCCAGCAGCCGCGGUAA